UCUAAAGCGGGGCAAGGAGGGGCCUUGAGCUGCAUAUCUUCUUGACGUGCCAUAUACGGACUUUGCUCAUACUUCACCUGUGUUUUCAUUCUCUCUUUUGGCACAUUGAGGAUCACGCACAAAUACAGGCUCCACCGCGAUACUGCUGUAGUAUGGAUAAAAUUGAGAAUGCUAAGAGUGAGGGAGAAGAGGUGAAAGUCACUAUGCUGGAAAAUGCAAAUGGAGCAGGAGAACACAAGGAUGUCAAUCAAAAAGCUGAAAAGCCUCAGUGCACCAGAAAAAAAUGUAAGGAAUCUGCAGCAAAGCCGAAAGGGAACCAGAAGAUGGAGUACCUGCGGGCUAAUAAAGGACUCGUAGCCACUGUACUGAUUUCAGCUGUUAUUAUAUUCACUGUUGUGGUUGCCAUGCUUGUCACUAAAGAAACAGAUGGGCAUAGUCACUCAAAAGUGCACAAUGCCACAGAAAUUCCAUAGCAACAAUUGCAGCAGACUGGUGGGACAAAUCCGUUUUUGUUUUCUGAUGUUAAAUUAUGUUUUAUGUUAUAAAGUGUCUUCUGAUCUAACAUGACAUUUUCUGUUUUAAACAUACUUAAAGGGGAAGUUAAUCCUAUUUUCAACAACAUUGGGCCUAUUUACAUAUUUCAAAAUAUCUUCAUUUGUGUAUACCACAAAAGAAACAAAAUGAUACAGGUUAGUAUGGAAUGGAGAAAAAACAUAAGAUGAGAGGAAAAAUCCAACGCUAUCUCACGACCAAUUCGUACGUAUUUUGUGAGGUGGCGAGUGAGGUCAUACAAAUUCGUAUUUGUCUAAACCCCAGUGACGGGUAGGUUUAGGGGCGGGGUUUGGGGUAGGUAAUUCGUACGAAUUCAUACGAAUAGAGUACCUCAGGGAUGACGUGUUUUUGUAGGCCAACCCGGAAGUUAGCGGCGCACGGGUUCCCUCGAUCGAAAGCCUAUGCAUUUUUCCCAUAGAUUUUUGGAAAAUCGCAAAAAAUAAGCUCUGUGUUUAACAAAGGGUUAUGACACUUACACGUUUUGUCUAUCAAGAUAAUCUUUACAAGUUAACACAACAUUUAUACAUUUUGAAGCCUAAAUAAAGUCGUCAGAUAUAAAAAGCUAACAGUAGGCUAUAAACGGACUACAGCACACCAUGGUCGUGGAUCAACGUCACCACCACCAAGCUUCCUCAAACUUUAUUUAAAAAACAACUUUAUUUAAAAACAUGCUCGCUGAUUAUGAUCUGCGCUGUGUAUGAAUACUUAUCCACUUUUUUCAUGAGAAAUGCUGUCCAAAUGUCCUGUUUGUCAUGAUGACGUCUAAAGUCCCCGCCAAAGGAAGUAGUCCCUUUUAGCAAUUUGUUAGCAACCGCCGUUUUUAAGACACAAUUAAGGUUUAAAAAAAAUCAAAAGCGGGUUAUAACUGGUGUGUUUUAUGUCAUAGAUCAAAACGUGAAAAUAUUUAGAGGCUUUGUUAACCACAGACCUUAUUUCAGGCGAUUUAGCAAAAACCCAUUCAAAAAACCCAUAGACUUUAGGGCGAUGGAACCGGAAGUCCUAAAACGCUAACUUGCUUCCGGGUUUUGCCUACAAAAACACGUCAUCCCUGAGGUACUCUAUUUGGCAAGUCAUAAAAUAUGCACGAAUUAGCAAAAAAACAUAUGAAUUCGUAUAAGUGAGGUCGUACGAAUUCUAACGAUUUAGCCACCUCGUAAAAAAUACAUACGAAUUGCCGUGAGGUCGGGUUGAAAAAUCACCAUGUCACUUUAGGGGCUAUAGUUUUAAGAUUGUUUGUAUAAAGACGAUGAUUUAAACACACUUUAAACACAAAAAAAAAAUCACAGCAAGUUUGUUCACUAAGCUCAUUAUUUUCACUUUGUCAUAUAAACAUGACUCAGCAGGACAGGCUAUCAAGAAAAAACACAUUUCCCCAUGAAAAUUGUGCUGAUAGUUUGGUAUGUAAACAUAAGGAGAUGUGAUUGAAAGCAAGGGCAUUUUCUAAGGUCAAGUGCACUUAUCCUUUUGACAAAAGUGACAAAAGAAGCACAAACAUGAUUUUUUGUUUUUGCUGUGAUUACAAACGAGUCAUCUUAAAGACAGGCUUUGUUUGAGGCCAAAGAUUAUUUAUAAAAAGCACUUAUUAGCAUUAACGUUUCUUGUUCACAACCAAAUUUUGUAUGUUGGAAACCACCUCAAGCUGUCAUAAUCAUGUUUGAUUUAAAAACGUAAUUUCUGAUGAAUGUGAAAAUAAAUGCAGAAAUCUAUUAUCUGCUGUUAUCAUUGA